rnacentral:rRNA from 1 species
AGAGUUUGAUCCUGGCUCAGAUCGAACGCUGGCGGCAUGGCUAAAACAUGCAAGUCGAACGCGAAAGUCACUUCGGUGGCGAGUAGAGUGGCGAACGGGCGAGUAAUGCGUUUCUAACGUACCCCAAGGUCAGGGAUAGCUCAUCGAAAGGUGGGGUAAUACCUGAUGAUCCCAACCGGACGCAUGUCUGGAUGGGCAAAGGCUUGCUGCCUUGGGAUCGGGAAACGUGCUAUCAGGUUGUUGGUGGGGUAAUGGCCUACCAAGCCUUAGACGGCUAGCGGGUGUGAGAGCAUGACCCGCCGCAUCGGGACUGAGACACUGCCCGGACUCCUACGGGAGGCUGCAGUAACGAAUCUUCCGCAAUGCGCGAAAGCGUGACGGAGCAAUGCCGCGUGCAGGAUGAAGCCCUUCGGGGUGUAAACUGCUGUCAGGGUCUAGCAACACAAUGAGCAGACCCAAAGGAAGGGCCGGCUAACUUCGUGCCAGCAGCCGCGGUAAUACGAAGGGCCCGAGCGUUGAUCGGAUUCACUGGGCUUAAAGGGUGCGUAGGCGGGAGCGUAAGUGCUUUGUGAAAUCCCACGGCUCAACCGUGGAACUGCAGGGCAUACUGCGUUCCUUGAGGCUGGUAGAGGCUGUCGGAACUCUAGGUGUAGCGGUGAAAUGCGUAGAUAUUUAGAGGAACGCCCAUGGUGAAGACAGGCAGCUGGGCCAGAACUGACGCUGAGGCACGANAGCGUGGGGAGCAAACAGGAUUAGAUACCCUGGUAGUCCACGCCGUAAACGAUGUGCACUAGAUUUAGGAGGUUUUGACGCCGACUGAGUCGAAGUAAAAACAAUAAGUGCACCGCCUGGGGAGUACGGUCGCAAGGCUAAAACUCAAAGGAAUUGACGGGGGCUCACACAAGCGGUGGAGCAUGUGGCUUAAUUCGAAGCAACGCGAUGAACCUUAUCCUGGGAUUGACAUGUAUGGAUUAGCUUCUAGAAACAGGAGUGACGCGGCUUGCCGUGGAACAUACACAGGUGCUGCAUGGCUGUCGUCAGCUCGUGCUGUGAAGUGUCGGGUUAAGUCCCUUAACGAGCGAAACCCUUGCCGUUAGUUGCUACCAGGUAAUGCUGAGGACUCUAGCGGGACUGCCGGUGUCAAACCGGAGGAAGGUGGGGAUGACGUCAAGUCCUCAUGGCCUUUAUGCCCAGGGCUGCACACGUGCUACAAUGGCAAGUACAAAGCGACGCAAUACCGCGAGGUGGAGCAAAUCGCAAAAAACUUGCCCCAGUUCGGAUUGUAGUCUGCAACUCGACUACAUGAAGUUGGAAUCGCUAGUAAUCGCGUAUCAGCUACGACGCGGUGAAUACGUUCCUGAGCCUUGUACACACCGCCCGUCAAGUCAUGGAAGCCGGGAGUACCCGAAGCCGCACCGAUUCAGGUGUGUCGACGGUAAGCUUGGUGACUGGGACUAAGUCGUAACAAGGUAACC